UACAGAGGUCUCAAGCGUUGUUCGGAUUCAUUGGGCGUAAAGGGUGCGUAGGUGGCAUGGUAAGUCGGAUGUGAAAUCCCGGGGCUCAACCCCGGAACUGCAUUCGAUACUGCUGCGCUAGAGUACUGGAGAGGAGAUUGGAAUUUACGGUGUAGCAGUGAAAUGCGUAGAUAUCUGGAGGAACACCGGUGGCGAAGGCGACAUCCUGGACCGGUAUUGACGCUGAGGCGCGAAAGCCAGGGGAGCAAACGGG
rnacentral:rRNA from 1 species